GUCACUUGGCUGCGGCAGCCACUCCUUGGUCUGGGGCUGUCCUGAAGAUGAAUUCCAGUGCCCCAGAAGGAAUGACAGGGCAGCGGAGUCCUGCCAUCUCCCCCGAAAAAUGAAGCUGCUGAAAAGAAAAUAGAAAAAAUCACAAAGACCUCUGCCUUAGGACUGUACAGACUCUGAGAAGCCAAGCUGUCUACCACAACAGACUGGGGACCGCUCAAGCCAGGGUCUACCGUGGGAUGAGAUCAACUACCAUAGCCAUCUU
ensembl:lncRNA